GGGUCGAUGAUGAGAACACAGAUGGGCUUGAAGAGAAAUGAUGACCUAAAAUCAUGCUGAAUAGUAUUACAUUGAGACCC
ensembl:snoRNA SNORD115 Small nucleolar RNA SNORD115